AUACGUGCAGGGUGGAGAUGCACAGCCCUCGGACCGUGUGGCACUGCGUCCCCCACCGCCCCAGUGAUCGGGCGACGGACGGACAAGGUCCUGAACAGACGCCCUUGCGGCGUCCACGGACGAUCGGUUGAUUCCUCCUCCUGACUGAGUGCACCAGGCCCGUUCGAUUGAUUCGGAUGACAUUCGAAAAGCUCGACAGGUCUUUUGGCACCGCAAAACAGGACGCGUCGUCGCGACCACGGCAGGCUGGGCAACCGGCUGGUGCCGAACGUCGCCAGACACGGGGGUGGCCCGCCACCCUUUGCGCACCUUGGCACCGAUCAUGAAAAAUCGCGUGUGCCGAACGCCGUUUCCGGCAGCCCGGAAACCGA
rnacentral:ncRNA from 1 species